rnacentral:rRNA from 1 species
AAUGGCCUACCAAGGCGAAGACGCUUAGCUGGUCUGAGAGGAUGAUCAGCCACACUGGGACUGAGACACGGCCCAGACUCCUACGGGAGGCAGCAGUGGGAAUAUUGGACAAUGGGCGCAAGCCUGAUCCAGCCACGCCGCGUGAGUGAUGAAGGCCUUCGGGUCGUAAAGCUCUGUGGGGAGGGACGAACGGCGCCAUGAAGAGUGGCGAUUGACGGUACCUCCUUAGCAAGCACCGGCUAACUUCGUGCCAGCAGCCGCGGUAAUACGAAGGGUGCAAACGUUGCUCGGAAUCAUUGGGCGUAAAGCGCACGUAGGCGGCUUUCUAAGUCGGAUGUGAAAUCCCUCGGCUUAACCGAGGACGUGCAUCCGAAACUGGGAGGCUUGAGUAUGGAAGAGGGUCGCAGAAUUCCCGGUGUAGAGGUGAAAUUCGUAGAUAUCGGGAGGAAUACCAGUGGCGAAGGCGGCGACCUGGGCCAAUACUGACGCUGAGGUGCGAAAGCGUGGGGAGC